GAUGAACGCUGGCGGCGUGCCUAACACAUGCAAGUCGAACGGAAAGGCCCUGCUUUUGUGCGGUGAUCGAUUGCCGAAGGCGUGAGUAUCACGUGUGUAACAUGCCCUUGUCUUUGGGGUAACUUCAGGAAACUGGGGCUAAUAUCGGAUAGGAUCUCCUGCAGCGCGGGGGGGGUUGGAGAGUUUCGGCUUUGGGGGAUGGACUCGCUGGUUACGCGCUUGCUUGUGGGGUAGGUGCUUACCCAGGCUUUGACGGGUCGCCCGCCUGAGCGGGUGACCGGCCACAUUGGGACUGAGGUACGGCCCAGACGGGUACGGGCGGCAACGGGGGGGAAUCUUGCACAAUGGGCGCAAGCCUGAUGCAGAAGCGCCGCGUGCGGGAAGACGGCCUUCGGGUUGUAAACCACUUUCGCCUGAAACGAAGCGUGAGUGACGGUAAUGAAUAAAAAAGCAACGGCUAACUACGUG
rnacentral:rRNA from 1 species